rnacentral:siRNA from 1 species
ACCAACCCAUAUUAGGUGACACC